rnacentral:rRNA from 1 species
UGGGGAAUCUUCGGCAAUGGGCGCAAGCCUGACCGAGCCAUGCCGCGUGAGUGAUGAAGGCCCUAGGGUUGUAAAGCUCUUUCAGCGGGGACGAUAAUGACGGUACCCGCAGAAGAAGCCCCGGCUAACUCCGUGCCAGCAGCCGCGGUGAUACGGAGGGGGCUAGCGUUGUUCGGAAUUACUGGGCGUAAAGCGCGCGUAGGCGGACUGGUCAGUCAGGGGUGAAAGCCCGGGGCCCAACCCCGGAACUGCCUUUGAUACUGCCAGUCUUGAGAAUAGAAGAGGGUCGUGGAAUUCCUAGUGUAGAGGUGAAAUUCGUAGAUAUUAGGAAGAACACCAGUGGCGAAGGCGGCGACCUGGUCUAUUUCUGACGCUGAGGUGCGAAAGCGUGGGGAGCAAACAGGAUUAGAUACCCGCGUAGUCC